UAAAUGCAUUCUCUGGGAUGCU
rnacentral:miRNA from 1 species